UCUUAGGAGAGGGCUGUGCUGUUUCGAGGCUCCAGAGCCCAGUCAGGGUCUGCGCUCUCCACCUUCGCGCUCUGGGGGUCACCGGGCACCUAGGAACUGAGGACACGUCACGAUAUCAUUGGAGAAUUUACAACAAGCUACCGGGAACUUUCUGGAGGGCAGUCCCAAUUCAAUGUAUACGAGGUAACGUUACUCUCCUUCUUGGUAGAAACAGAAGUUUCUUUCCUUGACUACAUCAAGGGAGGGUACUUCCCUCUCCACUAAAUGUUUCAAAAUCUGACCGAGGUCAUCAGCUGAGUUGCUGGCACUCAAACUGGUUCUUUCAGACUCAAAAGCUGUGUGCUUGCUAAUACAUCACUCUACGCUAACUGACAGUUGCUUCUGUCUCAGCGGAAUGACUGGGCAGCUGCUGAUGGUGACUGUUCAUUCCAGUCCCUCCCGGGGCUUCUCUGAAGAUGUUCUCCCAGAAGCCUCCCUGUGUUCAUUUCCUGAAAGUCUGUGCCCAUUUUGGUUCAUGCUGGUUAGUGUUGUGCUCCAACUUAGCCUAAAUUCUUAGCCUACAAACCUGAUUUCUGCUCUGAGAAAAAGUACCAUAUUACUAUAAAGGGAAUUUAUGUUAGUUUUUGUUUAAUGGAAGCAUAAAUGUGUUGUUCAUUCCUUAGGAAAGAAAAAGUGAAUUUGAGAAUUGUAUGUAGGUCUUUUUCAGGCUAAAUUUUCAGAGAAAGGAGAUACUGCUAUACAUUUUACCAAGAGAACUACCAAGGAACAUCUUGCUGUAGUACUCAGAUUGUUGCCAUUUCAAUCCUGUCACCAUUGUCACCACCAUUAAUCCAGUAGUUCCGGUCCUUGAAGUGUUAAAUCAGUUGUGCAUUAUGUCUGAAGUAAGUUGUUGCCAAAAUGGAGUAGUCACACUUUCAAAUGAUCCACUUUUUACAAGAAAUUUAUUUUUUAGAGGGUGGGUGUGGGGAGCAAACCGGACUAGACUGUUACUGGAAUUAAGACUUAUUCUAUGCAUCUGCUCUCCCACAAUAUGGCGCUGGGAGAGAAGUAAACAGCUUCCGCACAGCUGCCUCCAGUUCAACUAAUAAACUGUAGGACUUGCUCCUGAUUGGAGGAGAGCAGCGUACUCGGCGUGUGGGCAGCCGAGUUGGGAUUGGCGGAGGAGGACUAUAAAGGAGGAGAGAGACGGCAUGCAUCAGGAACAUCUAUGGGGAACAUCUAAGGGAACCCGUGCAGCCCCCCAGAAAGCCGGCCGGCGGUGUGCCGCUCCCCUGCGGAAGUGGGGAAUGUGGCCAGGGGGAACUGCCCUUCCACGGAGGUGGAAGGGAUAGUAGCCAACCCAGGAAGAACCAGCAGCAAACCCGGGGAGGGCCGAGCAGACGAAAGAACAGCGCAGGGUCCUGUGUUGCUCCUCCACGAAGAGGGGGAGCGACAUAAUGGUGCCGUGACUCGGAUAGGAAACCUAGGAGGGAAGAAACGGGAAGAAGUGGAAAAUACCGGAGAGAGAGACUAGCAAAGAGCCUAGGGGAAAGCCGGAUGAGAAAGGUGCCGGCAGAAGCUAUUGAAAGCCUAGGCAUAGACUCGGAUACGGACUGUGGGAAAGAAGUUAGGAUUGAAAGCGAAAGUGAAAGCUUUCAUAGACUCGGAUGCGGACUAUGGCGGGGAAGCUAGGAGAUUGAAAGCGAAAGUGAAACCUGGAGGAGGCUUGGACUCGGAUAUGGACUGUGGGAAAGAAGUUAGGAUUUAAAGUGAAAGCAAGAAGAAACUUAGACUCAGAUACGGACUGCAGGUUGAAAGUGAAAGUGAAACCUAUAAGAAACUUAGACUUGGAUACGGACUGUGGGGAGAGGCCAGGAGAAAUGAGGGAGGAAUAUUGUUGGAAGAAAACUUAAGGAAACAUACCGGGUAGAGAAAAAUGUUAGGGAGGAUGAAGCCGCGAGUGCAGGCCGAGGCGGAGAUAUAAGCCACCUUGGAAUUCUUCAAGUCACCCCGGGGAGCAAGAGGCGAAGAUCUGGAACCAGAGGCAGAGACGUGGGCCGCCAGGAUUCGCCAGGUUAGUCCGGGGAACUUGGACUGAAUGCCGGUGGUGGCGGAAACAUUCGCGGAAGCCGCUGCGUGCAGAGAGAGCACGGGGCGUGAAUAGAUGGGCUGGCACGAGGCCGUGGUGCGGGCGCGAAGUGCGUGGAGACCGCGGAGCGUGCGCGCAGAGCCGGGAACCCGCCGGCGGGGCGAGGCGCCAGGAAGCCGCGCAGAACCGGGAACCCGCCGGCGGGGCGAGGCGCCAGGAAGCCGCGCAGAGCCGUGAAGCCGCCGCGGGGCGGGCGCCGGCGGGGCGAGGCGCCGGGAAGCCGCGCAAAGCCGUGAAGCUGCCGCAGGGCGAGGCGCCGGGAAGCUGCGCGGAGCCGUGAAGCUGCCGGCAGGGCGAGGUGCCGGGAAGCGGCGCAAAGCCGGGAAGCCACCGCGGGGCGGGCGCCGGCGGGGCGAGGCACCGGGAAGCCGCGCAGAGCCGUGAAGCUGCCGCGGGGCGAGGUGCCGAGAAGCAGCCUCGGGCGGGCGCCGGGAAGCUGCGGGGAUAAGAGAAACAGAAGUUUGGGAGUGGAGUGAGAGAAAUGGGAAUGUUGGCAGACAGAAGUAAAAUGGGAGAAAUAGGAAUGCCCGGAGAUAGAGAAAUAGAGAAAUAGAAAGGCCUCCCUACAACACUGCAAUGUGAAAGCUUGGAUUCGGUCUGCCUAAUUAAGGCGAUAAGCGCCAGCAAGCAGCUCGACCAGAGUAUGAGCUGCAGGUCACCGAAGAUAGGCACAAACCAACACUAAUAAGUCUCCCCCACAAUAUGGCAAUGAGAAGGCUUGGAUUUGGUUUGCCUGAUAGGGCUUGUAAGCCCCUGCAGGCAGAGCAGAGCAUGCGCUGCAGGGCACCGAACACAGGCACGCAUCAGCGCCUAAAAACCUCCUCACAACAUGGCGAAGAGAGGACCCGGAUUCGGUUUGCCUGAUUGAUAGGACUUGUAAGAACCUGUGGCAACUCUAGCAAGCAGAGCAGAGUGUGUGCCGCGGGACACCGAAGACAGGCGCGUAUCAACGCCAAAAAAUAAAAAGAAAGGGGGAUCUGUGGGGAGCAACUCGGACUAUACUGUUACUGGAAUUAAGACUUAUUCUAUGCAUCUGCUCUCCCUCUGUGGGGAGCAACCUGGACUAGACUAAGUUACUGGAAUUAAGACUUAUUCUAUGCAUCUGCUCUCCCACAAUAUGGCGCUGGGAGAGGAGAAAACAGCUUCUACACAGCUGCCUCCAGUUCAACCAAUUAACUGUAGGACUUGCUCCUGAUUGGAGAGCAGUGUACUCGGCGUGUGGGCAGCCGAGUUAGGAUUGGCGGAGGAGGACUAUAAAGGAGGAGAGAGACGGCAUGCACCGGGAACAUCUAUGGGGAACAUCUAAGGGAACCCGUGCAGCCCCCGAGAAAGCCGGCCGGCGGUGUGCCGCUCCCCUGCGGAAGUGGGGAAUGCGGCCAGGGGGAACUGCCCUUCCACGGAGGUGGAAGGGAUAGUAGCCAACCCGGGAAGAACCAGCAGCAAACCCGGGGAGGGCCGAGCAGACGAAAGAACAGCGCAGGGUCCUGUGUCGUUCCUCCACGAAGACGGGGAGCGACAGGUGGGUGUUUGGUCUGGCGAUGCCUAUAUUAGAGUUUGUGUUUCAAGUCCCAGCUCCUGAGCUUCAGAUCCAGUUCCUUUUUUAUUACACUCAGUUGUUGUGUCCCAAAAUGCAGCCUACUUUACUUUAUGAGAUUUCAUUUUUCAUCUUACAGGGAUAUGGUAUAAAGGUAAUUUUGCAAAGUUCUUACCUAGUAAAGCUGCCUGACUGUAUCCAGUGUUACUAUGACAUAUUUACUCAUAAGUUAGCAUUUCAGAAAAGAGUGACAUUAACAAACAUGAUACAAAUGGAAAGCAAACUGCUUUUUGGAGGCUGUUUGUUUAUUUAAUGAUUCUUGUUUACUUGUUUCUUUAAUUUAUUUUAUUUUUUUAUUUUUUAACUUAUAUUUAAUAAAUAUAAAUUUCCAAAGUACAACUUUUGGAUUAUAGCGACUUUCCCCUACCCAUAACCACCCUCCCACCCGCAACUAUCCCAUCUCCCAC